UACGUAGGGUGCGAGCGUUGUCCGGAAUUACUGGGCGUAAAGAGCUCGUAGGUGGUUUGUCGCGUUGUUCGUGAAAACCUGAGGCUUAACCUUGGGCGUGCGGGCGAUACGGGCAGACUGUAGUACUGCAGGGGAGACUGGAAUUCCUGGUGUAGCGGUGGAAUGCGCAGAUAUCAGGAAGAACACCCGUGGCGAAGGCGGCUCUCUGGGACGGUACUGACGCUGAGACGCGAAAGCGUGGGGAGCGAACAGG
rnacentral:rRNA from 1 species